CGCCAGAUGGCCGACAAAGGUAUAAGUCUUUUAAACUUAUCAUAGAUUUUCUUCAGGCGA
rnacentral:tRNA from 1 species